CCUACGGGAGGCAGCAGUGAGGAAUAUUGGUCAAUGGGCGCGAGCCUGAACCAGCCAUGCCGCGUGCAGGAAGACGGCCCUAUGAGUUGUAAACUGCUUUUGUAAAAGGGUAAACCUGAAUACGUGUAUUCAGCUGAAAGUACUGUACGAAUAAGGAUCGGCUAACUCCGUGCCAGCAGCCGCGGUAAUACGGAGGAUCCAAGCGUUAUCCGGAUUUAUUGGGUUUAAAGGGUGCGUAGGCGGGUUGAUAAGUUAGAGGUGAAAUGUCCGGGCUUAACUGGGGAAUUGCCUCUAAUACUGUUGAUCGAGAGAGCAGAUGCGGUAGGCGGAAUGUAUGGUGUAGCGGUGAAAUGCUUAGAGAUCAUGAAGAACACCGAUUGCGAAGGCAGCUUACCAACCUAUAACUGACGUUGAGGCACGAAAGCGUGGGGAGCAAACAGGAUUAGAUACCCGUGUAGUC
rnacentral:rRNA from 1 species